UACGUAGGGAGCGAGCGUUGUCCGGAUUCAUUGGGCGUAAAGAGCUCGUAGGCGGCUUGGUAAGUCGGAUGUGAAACCUCCAGGCUCAACCUGGAGUCGCCAUCCGAUACUGCUAUGGCUAGAGUCCGGUAGGGGCCCACGGAAUUCCUGGUGUAGCGGUGAAAUGCGCAGAGUAUCAGGAGGAACACCGAUGGCGAAGGCAGGUGGCUGGGCCGGCACUGACGCUGAGGAGCGAAAGCGUGGGAGCGAACAGG
rnacentral:rRNA from 1 species